UACGGAGGGUGCAAGCAUUAAUCGGAAUUAUUGGGCGUAAAGGGCGCGUAGGCGGAAAGGUAAGUCAGAUGUGAAAUUCCGAAGCUCAACUUCGGAGCUGCAUUUGAAACUGCCUAUCUAGAGGGAUGGCGGAGAAAAUAGAAUUCCACGUGUAGCGGUGAAAUGCGUAGAUAUGUGGAAGAAUACCGGUGGCGAAGGCGGUUUUCUAGCUAUUUCCUGACGCUGAGGCGCGAGAGCAAGGGGAGCAAACAGG
rnacentral:rRNA from 1 species